UGCGCAGCCGUUUGUCAAUCACGAGCCUCCUUCCUUUCUCUCUCAUCAGUUCCAGAUUCCAGGUCUAAAAGAAGAACCCAGAAACCAACCAUACCUACAAUGGUACUGUAUUACUGAAAUAAACCCAAAAAAGCCAUGUUGAGAUCAUCGUUAAUUCAUCGCAUAACACCCUUCUUAACCACUCGGAUUCGCCGUAAUCACAGGAUGCUAAGCUCCUCUUCUGCACUUCGCGAAGCUUCUUCUCCUUCAACUUCCCCUUCCCCUUCCCCUUCUCUCGAUGAAGCUAUUCACCUAACUGACAAUUGCGUUCGGAGGAUGAAAGAACUGCAAGCCAGUGAAGGAUUGGCUGAGGAAAAAAUGCUUCGCUUGGGGGUGGAAACUGGUGGAUGUUCUGGUUUCCAAUAUGUAUUUGACUUGGACAGUAAAAUCAACCCNNNNNNNNNUUUUGAGAGAGCUGGAGUCAAAUUGGUUGUUGAUAAUAUUUCAUAUGAUUUUGUGAANNNNNNNNNUGUUGAAGAGCUGAUUCGUUCUGCUUUCCUAGUGACUACAAAUCCAAGUGCAGUGGGCGGGUGCAGCUGUAAAAGUUCAUUCAUGGUACAACAAUAGUACUAUCAAAGCUCCAUACAGUUCCAACA
rnacentral:misc_RNA from 1 species